rnacentral:lncRNA from 1 species
GCCACAGUCACAGCUGUUUACAGGACUCUGCUGGAGUCUGUAAGUGGCUUGGACACUCAGCUGGACUGGCAAAGCAGAAUAUCUGUGUGUCAGUGUACUUCAUUCAUCCGUCGCUGGGUCAGGGUCUGGGGGUCAGACCCCUGCAGCUGGUGCCCCUGUGUGAGGAACGCUACCACACAUCCUGGCCUGGGCUGGGGAGUCCAUCCAAUGGAAUAUAUUUAAGGUAUGAAAAGGGCCUCGUUCAGUUCCUGGAGCAAGGGAGCCACCCGAUAAUGCCUUCCCUUGCACCCCAGAUGAAGCCAAGCACAGUGAGAGAAGCAUCUCCAGAUCUCUAUCUGGUGGAGCUGCUGGACUUCCCUCGGGGCAGGAACAUGAAAUCUGAGGGAAGAUACUUUUGGAACCUUGAAUCUGAAAGGAACUCAAUGUUUUGCAUCCUUGGGAUUGCCAGAGAUUGGCAGAGGAGAGUCAAACAAGGACACAGAGAUGGAGCAGCCUUGAUAAGGCAAUCUGGACACAAAGGGACACUGGGGUACAUAUGUACAGAAAAAAGACCAUGUGAAGACACAGUGAGAAAGUGGUCAUUUGCAAGCAAAGAAGAGGUCUCAGAAGAAUGCAAACCUGCUGACACCUUGAUCUCAGAAUUCUAGCCUCCAGAAUGAUGAGGACAUUGAGGCGCAGAGAAAUUAAGUGACCUUCCUCAGAGUCACAUAUGACAGCUAAAUGGUUACAAAGUCCAUAGUAACUAUAGGAUCCCUGUGAUGUUGUGAAAUAUCUAUUUGGUCUUCAUCCCAGUCUCCUAGCGCACAACUCCUAAAAUCCCUGGACUCUUCAAAGUGGUAAGUGUCUUUCUGAACACUGAUGACUUGACUGUUGGCUGGAAGCCCUUAGGUAGCUUCAAGAUGGGAGCUGGUCACCCAAAAGACAAAGGUAGGAUCAGAGGGUUGGGACUUUCAGCCCAUUCCCCAGUCUCCAAGGAGAAAAGAGGUUGAGUUUAUUGGUUUCAUCAAUUGGGCCCAUGUAAUGUAGCCUCCAUAAAGCCUCCCAAAGACAGUGUUUGGGGAGCUUCGGGAUAGCUGAAGACGAGGUUCCUGGAGGGUGGUGCACCUGGGGAAGGGAUGGUAACUCCAUGCCCCUUCCCAUAUGCCUUGCAUCUCUUCGUCUGUAUCCUUUUGUUUAUAUCCGUCAUAAUAAGCCAGUAAGGGUAAGUUUCUCUGAGGUCUGUGAGCUGCUCUAAGAAAUUAAUUGAACCCAAAGAAGGGGUUGUGGGAACUCUUAUUUAUAGUCAGUCAGAAGCACAGGUAAACCAACCUGUGGGCUUGUGAAUUGCAUCAGAAGUGUGGUGUAGGAGCUUGUGAAUUGCAUCAGAAGUGUGGUGUAGUGGGUAGUCUUGGGGACUGAGCCCUCAACCCGUGGGAUCUGAU